rnacentral:lncRNA from 1 species
AUGGAAAGAAUUGGCAUUUUGCUCACAUUAUCUGCUUUCAUAACCAUUCAUUUUCAAGUGAAGGCCAAGAGCUUUUCUAAAAAUGUGUCAUCACUGGGAAUGAAUUUGGUCACCUUACCCUGGUACAUAUUUACAAAACUCAAGGAAGUACCAUGGAAUUUGAUACAGUUAUCAGUCUCACUUCUAAGGGUACCAGAACUGAAAUGACAGAAAUCUCACAGACCAGGACUGAGGAUUUGAAUGACUAGAAGACCUUGGUUACUUCCUGGAAAUGGCUCACCAGCAGUUAAUCAGUGCUAAAUUGUAUAACCCACUUACAUUAUGCAUAGAAAUACAAAACACUAAUGUCAUUAAAUGUUU